AGCGAACGCUGGCGGCAGGCCUAACACAUGCAAGUCGAACGAACUCUUCGGAGUUAGUGGCGGACGGGUGAGUAACACGUGGGAACGUGCCUUUAGGUUCGGAAUAACUCAGGGAAACUUGUGCUAACACCGAAUGUGCCCUUCGGGGGAAAGAUUUAUCGCCUUUAGAGCGGCCCGCGUCUGAUUAGCUAGUUGGUGAGGUAAAGGCUCACCAAGGCGACGAUCAGUAGCUGGUCUGAGAGGAUGAUCAGCCACAUUGGGACUGAGACACGGCCCAAACUCCUACGGGAGGCAGCAGUGGGAAAUCUUGCGCAAUGGGCGAAAGCCUGACGCAGCCAUGCCGCGUGAAUGAUGAAGGUCUUAGGAUUGUAAAAUUCUUUCACCGGGGACGAUAAUGACGGUACCCGGAGAAGAAGCCCCGGCUAACUUCGUG
rnacentral:rRNA from 1 species